GGGUGCGAUAAUGCCAGCACUAAAGCACCGGAUCCCAUCAGAACUCCGAAGUUAAGCGUGCUUUGGAGAGAGUAGUACUAGGAUGGGUGACCCCCUGGGAAGUCCUCGUGUCCUUUUUGCAUCCC
rnacentral:rRNA from 15 species